rnacentral:lncRNA from 1 species
CUCCUCUGGGAAGCCUUCCCUGAAGACCUGUGUACAAGGUGUAAACCUCUAUUGCACUGCGAUCCCUCCGGCUGGCAGACUUCGUUAUUCUCUCAGUCUUCCCUGCUGGGUGAUGAGCUCCAAGGGCGGGGACCAAGUCUUGUCCAUCUCAAUAUCCCAGGCAGCAAGCAGGAGCUCGGGAACUGGUUGAAUGAAUGAAUCUCCAUGCUCCUGCCUCUUUGCCUUCUGAUCCAGGACCCUCAGACUUCUCUACCUGCUCUCUCUAUCUCUCCUUAGCAUUGGGUAUCUAAGUUCUCUUGUGCCUUAACCUUCUUCAUUCUUUCUGCUUGAGGGGAACAGAUUCACAGGGACACGCCUCAACAGGCACCCUCAAAGCCAUCCUAGGGCCCAUCGUGGCUGUGCCAUUGAUCCUCGGUGUUGGACUGUACCUUUGGAAGACACAUGAGAAGAAGAAGAAGAUGGAGAUUGGAAGAGGCAGGUUAACUUCUUUCUGGCCCACAUACCUCCCCUGCCCCACUUGACCCCUGGCUCCCUUCCUCCUGCAUUUUGCUGCUCAGGGAAUGCCCUUGAGCUUCAUAGCAGUGGGGGAGGGUACAGGUUUCCAAGGCCCAGAUUCCAGCUCCAAUCUAUGUGUGACUCAGGUGCAGGACUGCAGGAGGAACACAGGAACCAUGAUGAUGACAUCCAGUAUGCAGAGCUGAGCCUGCAGGAGUCUCGAGGGGGCAGGGACAAGGGUAUGAGGGAACAUAUGAGGGAACGACGUCUGCAAGAAAAGGAAGAUCUCACUGCUGUCUACAGUGAGGUUCAGAAGCCAGGCCAGGCCAGGCCAUGAAGAUAAAGAGAAAACAGGAGAAUCAGCAUUCCUAGGACACCUCCACACUGAGCUUGAUCCCUGCAGACACCUGCCUCUUCCAGCUCUGGUCCAGCUCCAGCUGCUUCUGGUCCACAUUGCUCUGACCCUCAUGUCUUCAACUCCCUGGGCACGUGUAGCCCUGUCAUUUCCUCUGACCCCUCCCUAAGCUGCCCUCCCACUCAUGAGCCUCACUCCUGCAGCACAAGUGCUCUUUCCCUGUCAUUGACUUGGCUCCUGACCCCUCUCCUCCUGAAGAUUCCCCAAAGGAGACCCUCCUG